rnacentral:rRNA from 1 species
UACGGAGGGUGCAAGCAUUAAUCGGAAUUACUGGGCGUAUAGGGCGCGUAGGCGGUUUUGUAAGUCAGAUGUGAAAUACUGGGGCUCAACCUCAGUGCUGCAUUUGAAACUGCAAGGCUGGAGGAUGGAUGGAGAGAACGGAAUUCCACGUGUAGCGGUGAAAUGCGUAGAUAUGUGGAAGAACACCGGUGGCGAAGGCGGUUCUCUAAUUUAUUCCUGACGCUGAGGCGCGAAAGCAAGGGGAGCAAACAGG